rnacentral:rRNA from 1 species
UUAAGCGACUAAGCGUACACGGUGGAUGCCCUGGCAGUCAGAGGCGAUGAAGGACGUGCUAAUCUGCGAUAAGCGUCGGUAAGGUGAUAUGAACCGUUAUAACCGGCGAUUUCCGAAUGGGGAAACCCAGUGUGAUUCGUCACACUAUCAUUAACUGAAUCCAUAGGUUAAUGAGGCGAACCGGGGGAACUGAAACAUCUAAGUACCCCGAGGAAAAGAAAUCAACCGAGAUUCCCCCAGUAGCGGCGAGCGAACGGGGAGCAGCCCAGAGCCUGAAUCAGUGUGUGUGUUAGUGGAAGCGUCUGGAAAGGCGCGCGAUACAGGGUGACAGCCCCGUACACAAAAAUGCACAUGCUGUGAGCUCGAUGAGUAGGGCGGGACACGUGGUAUCCUGUCUGAAUAUGGGGGGACCAUCCUCCAAGGCUAAAUACUCCUGACUGACCGAUAGUGAACCAGUACCGUGAGGGAAAGGCGAAAAGAACCCCGGCGAGGGGAGUGAAAAAGAACCUGAAACCGUGUACGUACAAGCAGUGGGAGCACGCUUAGGCGUGUGACUGCGUACCUUUUGUAUAAUGGGUCAGCGACUUAUAUUCUGUAGCAAGGUUAACCGAAUAGGGGAGCCGAAGGGAAACCGAGUCUUAACUGGGCGUUAAGUUGCAGGGUAUAGACCCGAAACCCGGUGAUCUAGCCAUGGGCAGGUUGAAGGUUGGGUAACACUAACUGGAGGACCGAACCGACUAAUGUUGAAAAAUUAGCGGAUGACUUGUGGCUGGGGGUGAAAGGCCAAUCAAACCGGGAGAUAGCUGGUUCUCCCCGAAAGCUAUUUAGGUAGCGCCUCGUGAAUUCAUCUCCGGGGGUAGAGCACUGUUUCGGCAAGGGGGUCAUCCCGACUUACCAACCCGAUGCAAACUGCGAAUACCGGAGAAUGUUAUCACGGGAGACACACGGCGGGUGCUAACGUCCGUCGUGAAGAGGGAAACAACCCAGACCGCCAGCUAAGGUCCCAAAGUCAUGGUUAAGUGGGAAACGAUGUGGGAAGGCCCAGACAGCCAGGAUGUUGGCUUAGAAGCAGCCAUCAUUUAAAGAAAGCGUAAUAGCUCACUGGUCGAGUCGGCCUGCGCGGAAGAUGUAACGGGGCUAAACCAUGCACCGAAGCUGCGGCAGCGACACUAUGUGUUGUUGGGUAGGGGAGCGUUCUGUAAGCCUGUGAAGGUGUACUGUGAGGUAUGCUGGAGGUAUCAGAAGUGCGAAUGCUGACAUAAGUAACGAUAAAGCGGGUGAAAAGCCCGCUCGCCGGAAGACCAAGGGUUCCUGUCCAACGUUAAUCGGGGCAGGGUGAGUCGACCCCUAAGGCGAGGCCGAAAGGCGUAGUCGAUGGGAAACAGGUUAAUAUUCCUGUACUUGGUGUUACUGCGAAGGGGGGACGGAGAAGGCUAUGUUGGCCGGGCGACGGUUGUCCCGGUUUAAGCGUGUAGGCUGGUUUUCCAGGCAAAUCCGGAAAAUCAAGGCUGAGGCGUGAUGACGAGGCACUACGGUGCUGAAGCAACAAAUGCCCUGCUUCCAGGAAAAGCCUCUAAGCAUCAGGUAACAUCAAAUCGUACCCCAAACCGACACAGGUGGUCAGGUAGAGAAUACCAAGGCGCUUGAGAGAACUCGGGUGAAGGAACUAGGCAAAAUGGUGCCGUAACUUCGGGAGAAGGCACGCUGAUAUGUAGGUGAAGUCCCUCGCGGAUGGAGCUGAAAUCAGUCGAAGAUACCAGCUGGCUGCAACUGUUUAUUAAAAACACAGCACUGUGCAAACACGAAAGUGGACGUAUACGGUGUGACGCCUGCCCGGUGCCGGAAGGUUAAUUGAUGGGGUCAGCGCAAGCGAAGCUCUUGAUCGAAGCCCCGGUAAACGGCGGCCGUAACUAUAACGGUCCUAAGGUAGCGAAAUUCCUUGUCGGGUAAGUUCCGACCUGCACGAAUGGCGUAAUGAUGGCCAGGCUGUCUCCACCCGAGACUCAGUGAAAUUGAACUCGCUGUGAAGAUGCAGUGUACCCGCGGCAAGACGGAAAGACCCCGUGAACCUUUACUAUAGCUUGACACUGAACAUUGAGCCUUGAUGUGUAGGAUAGGUGGGAGGCUUUGAAGUGUGGACGCCAGUCUGCAUGGAGCCGACCUUGAAAUACCACCCUUUAAUGUUUGAUGUUCUAACGUGGACCCGUAAUCCGGGUUGCGGACAGUGUCUGGUGGGUAGUUUGACUGGGGCGGUCUCCUCCUAAAGAGUAACGGAGGAGCACGAAGGUUGGCUAAUCCUGGUCGGACAUCAGGAGGUUAGUGCAAUGGCAUAAGCCAGCUUGACUGCGAGCGUGACGGCGCGAGCAGGUGCGAAAGCAGGUCAUAGUGAUCCGGUGGUUCUGAAUGGAAGGGCCAUCGCUCAACGGAUAAAAGGUACUCCGGGGAUAACAGGCUGAUACCGCCCAAGAGUUCAUAUCGACGGCGGUGUUUGGCACCUCGAUGUCGGCUCAUCACAUCCUGGGGCUGAAGUAGGUCCCAAGGGUAUGGCUGUUCGCCAUUUAAAGUGGUACGCGAGCUGGGUUUAGAACGUCGUGAGACAGUUCGGUCCCUAUCUGCCGUGGGCGCUGGAGAAUUGAGGGGGGCUGCUCCUAGUACGAGAGGACCGGAGUGGACGCAUCACUGGUGUUCGGGUUGUCAUGCCAAUGGCACUGCCCGGUAGCUAAAUGCGGAAGAGAUAAGUGCUGAAAGCAUCUAAGCACGAAACUUGCCCCGAGAUGAGUUCUCCCUGACUCCUUGAGAGUCCUGAAGGAACGUUGAAGACGACGACGUUGAUAGGCCGGGUGUGUAAGCGCAGCGAUGCGUUGAGCUAACCGGUACUAAUGAACCGUGAGGCUUAACCUU